CCCGGGCUCUACACUAGUCUUCUGAAUACCGAUAACGCAAGGGUUAGAGGCGAAAUUCAUUUACAACAGAAUCCAAAAUUCACCUCCUCCUGCAGCUCGUAGCCGUCCGAUCAGAUGACGGAGUCACCGUCGGAUAGGCGGUGUAAACGCACCGCGGGCCCAAAUUGGCGGUGCAGCGGGGUGGCGUCGCUGGGAAAAUCGUUCUGCGAGAAACACUUGCAGCAGCGUGCGCUUCAAGACCAGAAACGCAGAAUUAAGAGGAACGAAGGGAACGAAUCAGAGCGCAGGUCCAACAAGACCAAGAGGAGGCUGUCGACCGCGGAUGACGUCAGUGCCGGAUCCGAAUUGGAAGUUUCCGUGUCCGAAUUGAUUGAAAACUCCGUCAGAAAGAAAAAAAAGAACGAGACGAAGAAGAAGAAACCACUUGAUCAAGAGAGUGUAAAUGAGUGUGGUAUUCACGAGGACUCUGACAGGGGAAUGAUGAGCGUGAACGGUGUCAAGAAGGGUUCAGGAGUUGAAGAUAAGAAACAAAUGGGUAGCAAAAGCAAGGAGGGUGGAAGUUUGAUGUGUCAUCAGUGCCAGAGGAAUGAUAAGAGUGGAGUUGUCUUUUGCUCGAAGUGCAACAGAAAACGCUACUGUUAUGAAUGCCUUAACAAGUGGUACCCAGGUAAAACCCGGAAGGAAGUUGAGAAUGCAUGUCCAUUCUGUUCAGGCAAUUGCAAUUGCAAAGCCUGCUUGCGGGAGGUUCCAGUGCUUAGGGACCGAGAGGUAAAUUCCAGUGUCAAAUUACAUCGACUGCGCUACUUACUCUAUAAAGCUUUGCCUGUUCUGAGGCAUAUUCACAGGGAGCAAAGCUUAGAACUAGAGAUUGAAUCUAAAAUAAGAGGUGAGCAACUGCAAGAAAAAGGCAUAGCAAGAACAGAGCUAGACAAACGUGAGCGCUUAUACUGUGACAAUUGCAAUACAUCUAUAAUUGGGUUUUACCGGAGCUGCCGCAAUCCCAGUUGCUCUUAUGAUCUAUGUCUCAUGUGUUGUCAAGAGCUUAGGGAGGGUUGCCAACCUGGAGGCAUAGAAGCUGAAACAUCCCAGGAACAAUUUUCUGAGAGAGCUCGUAAUCAUGAUUCGUCAAUAACUAAGAGUGAAAAACAAAGUAAAAGAUAUGGAUGGGAGAGCCAGCUUGUGCCUGAUUUUCAAGCUGACAUGUCCACCCCCUUCCCUGAAUGGAACGCUAAUACAGAUGGUAACAUUCCAUGUCCACCAAAACAGCGUGGAGGAUGUGGUACCACAUUGCUAGAAUUGAGACGUACUUUCAAAUGUAACUGGGUAGUGAAAUUGCUAAAUAAUGCUGAGGACCUCACUAGAGACUACACACCGCCUGAUGUUGAUAUUACAGAAAAGUGCUCUUUAUGUCAGAAAAAUACCAUUGAAGAAAAAACCAAUCUUGAAGCCCGUAGGGCAGCAUUCAGAGAUGAUGAUAAUGAUAAUUUCAUAUAUAGCUCAAAUGCCCUUGAUAUUUCUGAUGAUGAAAUUGAGCAUUUCCAGAGGCACUGGAUGAGGGGAGAACCUGUUGUUGUGAGAAACAUUCUAGAUAAGACGUCGGGUCUUAGCUGGGAGCCAAUGGUUAUGUGGAGGGCUUUAAGAGAAACAGGCUCCAAAGCGAAGUUUAAAGACGAAACUCGAAGUGUAAAAGCUAUUGAUUGCUUCGAUUGGUGUGGGGUUGAGAUCAAUAUGCACCAAUUUUUCGAUGGCUACCUGGAAGGCCGAAUGUAUAAAAAUGGGUGGCCAGAAAUGCUGAAAUUGAAAGAUUGGCCCACAUCCACCACUUUUGAAGAGCGCUUGCCUAGGCAUGGCAGAGAGUUCCUCAUGGCACUCCCCUACAGGGAUUACACUGAUCCAAAAUCUGGGACUUUGAAUUUUGCCUCUAAACUUCCUGAUGACUUACUAAAGCCGGAUUUAGGACCCAAAACAUAUAUUGCUUAUGGAUUUUCUGAUGAGCUUGGUAGAGGAGAUUCUGUGACAAAGCUGCACUGUGAUGUGUCUGAUGCAGUCAAUGUGUUGAUGCAUACAACCAAAGUGAAGAUAGCUCGUUGGCGGAGAAAAAUAAUAAAAGAAUUGCAGAAAAAAUAUGCGGAAGAAGACUCUCGUGAACUUUUAUGUGAGGCUUUAGGAGAUGCUGGUGAAAGACCUAAAUCUAAAGCAUUGAGUCAUGAUCAGAAGGCAGACAUUGGAAUUGGUAAUAUUUCACCAACUAGCGACGUGGAUCAGUGCAUUCCAUCUAUACGUGAAGAAGGCAAGAGUCAGAAGUUAGAAACACAUGAUCUAUCUGCAAGUAGCUUAGCUAGUAAUAUGAGCAAUAAGGAAGGCAGAAUGAGGAUUGAUUUUAUACAUGAUAAGGAGCCUGCUGGUCCUGAGCUGAGAGAGUCAAAACAAGGCCUGGAGAAAGAUACUUUGCAAACUGAAGAUGGAGCUGAGGUUGCCCUCGGUGGUGCUGUUUGGGAUAUCUUCCGCCGGCAAGAUGUCCCUAAGCUAAUUGAGUACUUAAGAAAGCACAAGAAUGAAUUCCGUCAUAUAAAAAAUCAUCCUGUAGAUUCUGUUAUACAUCCUAUUCAUGAUCAAACUCUGUUUUUAAAUGAGAGGCAUAAGAAACAGCUGAAAAAGGAGUUCAAUGUUGAACCAUGGACCUUUGAGCAACACCUUGGGGAGGCUGUCUUCAUUCCAGCAGGAUGUCCUCACCAAGUGAGAAACAGACAAGAGGUAACCACUCUUAGCCGCUGGUUGGUGGAGGCAAAUGAGAGGAUCACCGAAACGCAAAUUCAACUCACAAACGUGGACUCCUUACUGUGAUCUAUUGAGAAGUUGCUACGUGAAAACUUGAAGCUGAAAAUGAAGGCCGCUGAUUAUGGCCCUGUUGGUGACGCUGCCGCAGAUGGCAGUUCUGGUGUGGGAUCAGUAAGCAUGGGCACUAAACAGCCAUGGCCUCGGCUAAGGGUGAAAGUCGCUGAUCUCCCCAUGUUUGACAGCGAAAGAGUGGAAUAUUGGGUCUUCCACGCCGUCAGCACUUGGAGACGUUUGAGAUACCCGUGGAGCAGAGAAUUCGGGUGUUAUAGUUUCAUUUGGUGGGAGCAGCGUAUGCAUGGUAUCUAUGGGGCAUUAACAACAGCAUCACCUACACCUACACCUGGGACACAUUUCUGGAGGCGCUAGUAGCUAGUAGUCAGAUUUGGGAAGAAUCUCUUCUAUGACCCUUGCACCGCCAUUAAAGAAUUGAAGCAGAGUGGAUUGGUGGUGGAGUACGAGAGCCAAUUUGAAGAGUUGACCAACAGGGUCAAUGGGAUGAAUGAGGAGUGGAUCAUCUCCCUCUUUGUUGGUGGGCUUCAGGACCAGCUCAAAUGUGAAUUGCUCCUAGCCCAACCCACAUCUUAUGUCCAGGCCGUUUCCAUCGCUAAACUCCAUGUGCAGAAGAACGCGACGAUGCUGGGCUUAUCUCGGGUCGGUAGCAAUAAGGCCACAAGUAGCCCAGAACCCGCCCCGGUUUGCUCCUAACAGAACCCUUGCCCCAAGAGUUCUCACCCAAUGACUACCCCUUCCACGAGCUCCAUAGCCUCUGCUAACACACCCUCUUCUUUCCCAACACCAUAAACAACCCCACUGGCAUUUAAGAAACUGACCAGCGCUGAUAUUCGAGCACGAAUGAACGUUACAGCCAGGGGUAUCGCUGCAAGGCUUCUUAUCAGCUCCACGUAGGUGAAAAGGAACUCCAGGAGCUCUUACAAGGCACUGCCGGAACACUUGAAGAGGAGAAUGACUCCGAUUUGGAAGAUGAUGGACAUGAAGAGGAGGAACAACCUCCACGAAUCAGUCUCAACGCCCUUGCCGGGGAGUUCCACCCUGAGACUCUGCACGUGAAAGGGACACACGCCAACUGACCCCUGCUGAUUUUGAUUGACGGCGGCAGCACCCACAACUUCAUUAAAGGGUCAAUUCACUCAAUUGCCAGGAAGCUCAAUUUGCCUCUUACCCCCACAUCAACACUUCAAUGAUGGACAAUGGCGACUCCAUUAAUUUUGCUGCUAAAUGCCAAGAUUUUUCAUUAUUGGUGUAAGGGUAUAACUUCUCUGUGGACUCUUAUGUUGCGUUUGUUUACAGGCACGGGACACCAAGAUAGGGACACAGAGACACAAAAUCGUGUUUGGCAGAUGAAAUAUGGACAGGGACAUUGUGUCUAGAGACACUGAAUUAGUGUAUUUUGUGUCUAUCUUGACAGGAAGGACACAGAGACACUAACAAGAGGCAACUUAUUUUUCAUUUUUUCUUUCAUUAUUCUUCUUAAUUUUUCAUAAUUAUAUUCUUUAUUAUUAUAUUUUUCUUUCCAAAUUUUUUGAAUGAAAAAAAUAAGAAUAAAUUGGACUUUCAUAGUUUGUUCUAGUUUAUCACCAAACAAAAUAUAAGAAUACUAAUUUUUUUAUCUGUGUCCUUUGUGUCUUGUUCUGUUCUCAAAACCAAAUGCAGCCUUAUGUACUGGACCUCAAAGGCGCAAAUGUGGUCCUGGGAGUACGCAAAUGGGUUCCCUGCCACUAUUGUUUCCGGUAGAGACCCUCUCUUCUUAAGUCGCUUCUAGAGGGAAUUAUUUGUGAAUUGGGGUACUAAGCUGCUCUAUAGUAUAGCGUAUCAUUUGCAGACUAAUGGUCAAACGGAAGUUGUAAACCGAACGCUGGAACAAUACCUGCGUGUGUUCACCCAUUCCCACCCUGCAAAAUGGGCUGAGUUUUGUUAUAAUAACUCGUUUCACACCACAAUUGAGAUGUCUCCACAUGAAGCAUUAUAUGGGUUUCUAGCCCGGACCAUUCCAGGGUAUAUGCAUCACUCAUCUUCGGUUGAGGAUGUAGAUGACUUGCUGCGAGUGCAGGAGUCUCUUUAUAUGGAACUGAAGUUUUGCCUCCAACAAGAAUAGAACCGAAUGAAACGCCUGUCUGCUAAUCAUCAUGUCAUGGGGGUUCGGCUAUAUUUUUAUGUUGGUUGUCGAAGACCUAACACAACCCUCCUCCUUUAUCCGGGCUUGGGACCGGCUAUGUACCGCAAGUGUAACAUAGGCGGAGUUCUGUUUGUUAAUCAUCGUUGAGAGAAAUUGUUCAAUGUCGGUGAUUGGGUUCUGUUGAAGCUACAACCAUAUAGGCAAAGCUCAGUGGUGGUUUGUGGUAACUUAAAGCUUGCUAAGCGGUUUUAUGGGCCGUUUAAGGUGCUGCAGGGGGUAGGGAAGUCGCGUACAAGUUGGAACUUCCAACCGGCAGUGCUAUACAUAUGGAUGAAAGACUACGAGAAUCUUGUAUAAAGGUUGCUCUUGAUUUCGUUUCUCCGGAAAAUGUUGGAGAAUGUUUACGACUAACUGAAGAGUUUCGUUUGCUCCCAAAACACCACAGAGCCAAGGAAGACAAAUUGGAGG